GUUUAGGGGUAAACNUGAGAAACCCGAAAGGUCGAAGGAAGAAAUUCAAUCGCGUUUCGAAGCGAGCGUCGGACGGUCGUGCGACGGGACGAAACGGCCUUCGGGUCAUAAUCGGUCCGCGCCCUCCGUUCGUACACGAGCUCGUGGCGAACGCGUGCACUUUUCUUCUGGUAGGACGUCGCGAUCCGUUGGGUGUCGGUCUACGGCGCGCGGAGAAGCCCGUUCGUUGCUCGUAACUUGUUUGCGUGGCAUGCGAACGGACCCGUGCUGUCCUGGCCGACUCGCUCGACGGUAUCAUAUAAGGUUGUGGGCCGCUCGACUUAUACGGAGCGUUCGACGCGUCGGCAAGCCUUCCGGCCGUAACGGCAAUCGGACCUAGUGCCGAUUCCGUUCUCCGGUUAGACUGUUGGUCGGCAAAGCGUCUCGAACAGACCCGCAUUAUUCGCAAGAAUAUAACCGAUCUGCGACGCUAUAGCUUUGGGUACUUUCAGGACCCGUCUUGAAACACGGACCAAGGAGUCUAGCUUGUACGCGAGUCAUUGGGACUUUGCGAAUCCUAAAGGCGUAAUGAAAGUAAUAAAUUUUCCUUUGGAAAUAUUUAGGGAGGACGAGCGACGUCUAGCCGUUAAAAGCGGUCGUUCUGCACUCCCGGGGCGUCUCGUUCUCAUUGCGAGAAGAGGCGCACCAAGAGCGUACGCGCUGGUACCCGAAAGAUGGUGAACUAUGCCUGGUCAGGACGAAGUCAGGGGAAACCCUGAUGGAGGUCCGUAGCGAUUCUGACGUGCAAAUCGAUCGUCGGAACUGGGUAUAGGGGCGAAAGACUAAUCGAACCAUC
rnacentral:rRNA from 1 species